UGAUGUGGUUUAAUUCGAUGCAACGCGAAAACCUUACCCACCUUUGACAUGUACGGAAUCCUUUAGAGAUAGAGGAGUGCUCGAAAGAGAACCGUAACACAGGUGCUGCAUGGCUGUCGUCAGCUCGUGUCGUGAGAUGUUGGGUUAAGUCCCGCAACGAGCGCAACCCUUGUCAUUAGUUGCUACAUUCAGUUGGGCACUCUAAUGAGACUGCCGGUGACAAGCCGGAGGAAGGUGGGGAUGACGUCAAGUCCUCAUGGCCCUUAUAGGUGGGGCUACACACGUCAUACAAUGGCUGGUACAAAGGGUUGCCAACCCGCGAGGGGGAGCCAAUCCCAUAAAGCCAGUCGUAGUCCGGAUCGUAGUCUGCAACUCGACUACGUGAAGUCGGAAUCGCUAGUAAUCGUGGAUCAGCAUGCCACGGUGAAUACGUUCCCGGGCCUU
rnacentral:rRNA from 1 species